CCUGGCACCGGUCAUCUGUCUGCUCAGUGAGUGGGAGGGCUGGUACCUUCUCUUGUUUCUGAGACCCAGGUAGCAAAGGAGUUUGAGUUUGCAGUUGGAAUCAAAGGCUCUCCAACAAGGAAACAACUAAAUACUUUUUCAAACGUAAUGUUCAACACACAGUAAUAAAUAACCAAGCAAAUGAGGAAUGAAGACAACAUUCAAAGAACAGCACAAACAAGAAGUAACAGAAAGAUAUUCAUGGUCAUUAUUGACAGUGGGAUUACCAGGCACUCUAAAGCAACAUUAUAAUAUACUCAAGAAAACAAAGACCUGGCCGGGUGUGGUGGCUCACGCCUGUAAUCCCAGCACUUUGGGAGGCCGAGGUGGGCGGAUCACCUGAGGUCAGGAGUUCGAGACCAACCUGGUCAGUAUGGUGAAACCCCACCUCUACUAAAAAUACAAAAAUUAGCCAGGUGUGGUGGCAGGCACCUGUAAUCCCAGUUACUCAGGAAGCUGAGGCAGGGGAAUGGAAUCGCUUGAACCCGGGAGGUGAAGCUUGCGGUGAGGAGAGAUUGUGCCAUUGCACUCUAGCCUGGGCAACAGAGCAAGACUCCGUCUCAAAAACAAAAACAAAAACAAACAAAGAAAGUAAAGGCCAAACUUGAAAUUUGUUGGCAAGGAUUGGAAAUUGGAAGCUAUAAAAAGUAAUUGUCCACAUUUGAUAGAGAACCUCUAGAAACACUCUAAUUAAAAAUAUAAUAACCAAAAUCAAGAUCUCAAUGAUGUAUUUAGCAGCAAAUAAAUACAGUUAAUGAAAGAACUAGGAGAAAGGUCAAAAGCAACUAUCCAGACUUAACUCAGGAAAAAGCAUGAAAAUUCAGAGGAGUCAGAGACAUAUGCAGUUUGAUCAGCAUGUAUGCUAAAUGUGUACCUAUUCAAAUGGGAUCCCCAAUGGAGAGAAGAGAGUGAGCAUUUGAAAAGAUAAUGGUUGAGAAUUCCCCCAAACAGAUAAAAAUCCUACGAAUCUCAAGCAGCAUAAAUAAAAUGUACUCAUACCUAGACAUAUCAUAGUCCAAUUUCAGAAGACCAAAAUCAAAGAGAAAAAUUUUAAAAGCAGACAAGUGACAAUAGACAGAAGCAACAAUUAGAAUGCUGGUAAACCAGGUGCAGUGGUGCCUGCCUGUAGUCCAAGCUACUCAAGAGGCUGAGGCGGGUGGGAGGAUUGCUUGAGGCCAGGAGUUCGAGGCUGCAGUGAGCUAUGAUUGCACCUGUGACUAGCCAUGGCACUCCAACCUGGGCAACACUGUGAGACCCUCAUCUCCAAGAACAAAAAGAAUGACAGCAGACUUCUCAAAAAUGAUAACAGAAAUAAGAAAAUAGUAGAAUGAUAUUUUCAAUUUGGCCAAUCUAGAAUUCUACACCUAGUAAAAAUAUUUUUCAGUAAUCAUGGUAAAAUAAAGUCAGUGAAAUAAAAACUGAAAGAAGCUGCCACCAAGAGACCUGCACUAAAGGAAAUUCUGACAGAUAUUCUUUGGGUAAAGAGAAGAUCCCAGAUGAAAGCUUGGAGAUGAAGGAAAAAUUGAAGAGGAAUGAAAAUGGAAACAACACAGGUGUGUUCCUGCAAGACCUCUCUUUCCCUAGGGGAAAACAGAGACAUCUCAUCACAGAUAGCUCUAGGUUUGCCUUGGCCAUGAUGUCCAAGUGGUCUGCUUGGUUCCAUGCCUGCGUCUGAGCUGGCUCUGUGGGAGGUGCCAAGCUGCCUUCGACACUGUGCAUGGCACUUUAAAGCUCUCAAUAAAUAUUUUUCAAGUGAAGUCAAUGAAGCAAGAAAGAAUCUCAACUAGUUUUGAGGUAAUGGUUCAAGAUGACAUUCUUUCUCCCUAAGGCAAUAACUCUCAAAGCAGCGGUGGAGAAAAGCAACCACUUCUUGGCAGGGAGGGGAAUGAUUUUUUUUUUGCUGGGGGUCAGUCAUGGGAAAGGUGGCAAGGGGAGGAAGGUAAAUUUAAUUUGAAAAGUCAUGUCCAGUAUAAUUACUAUGUCAAAGACUGACAGUUUGGUCCUCAAUUUCUAACUAAGCACAUUGCUGCUGAGAAUAAGGACUAUAUUUUCCAAUUAUGUGUGGCCAUGUGAUUAAGUUUUGGUGAAUGGAAUAUAAGUGGAAUUGUGUGGCAGCUUCUAGAAACUUUUCUUAAGUCAGCUGGCAUAUGCCUUUUGCCCCUUUCUUCUGUAUGCUGACCUGCUUCUUGGAUCACAGGUGUGAUAGAUGGAGUGAGAACGGGAUUUCUCAACCUCCACACCGUUCCCAUUUUGGGCUUAGAUAAUUCCUUGUUGCCAGGGGUUGUAGGACAUUUAGCAGCACCCCUGGCCUCUACUUUUUUGAUGCCAUUGCACCUCGUCCCCAUUAUGACAAUAAAAAUGUCUCCAGACAUUGUCAACUGUCCUUUAGGGGGGAAAUUAUCCCUGAUGAAGAGCCACUGAUCCAGAACCAUCUUAGACUGGGAGGUCCUCUUGGGAAAGAGGGAAAAAGCCUGGGUCCUCAACUACUUGGUGGGGCACCAGCCACAGACAGCCUGCCUCCAGAUUUUCCAAAUAGGAGAAAGAAAUUACCCACUAUUACUUUGAGUCUAUGCUAGUUGCAGUCAUACUUAAUUCUAAUUGGUUAAAUUGUCUGUAUUUUGAAAUACAAAAUAAAGCUCAAUAGAAUUUAUUCGGCAGCCAUAACAAAUGAAAUCAUGUCCUUUGCAGCAAUAUGGAUGGAAUUGGAGGGCAGUAUCCUUAGUGAACUAACUCAGGAAAUCAAAUACCACGUGUUUUCACUCAUAAGUGGGAGAUAAACAAUGGGUAAACAUGAACACAAAGAUAGAAAUAAUAGACAGUGGGGACUCCUGAAGGGGGGAGGUUGGGAGGAGGGCGAGGGUUGAAAAAUUACCCAUUGAGUACAAUGUUCACUAUUUGGGUAAAGGGUACAGUAGAAGCCCAAUCCCCACAAAUACAAAAUAUACUCAUGUAACAAACAUGCACAUGUACCCCC
rnacentral:lncRNA from 10 species